GUUCGAGUUUGUCGCAGGCUCCUUUCCUCCCGAGUGCUUGCACUCAAUUGGAAAGAGGAGUGGCGGACGGGUGAGUAACACGUGGGUAACCUACCCAUCAGAGGGGGAUAACACUUGGAAACAGGUGCUAAUACCGCAUAACAGUUUAUGCCGCAGGGCAUAAGAGUGAAAGGCGCUUUCGGGUGUCGCUGAUGGAUGGACCCGCGGUGCAUUAGCUAGUUGGUGAGGUAACGGCUCACCAAGGCCACGAUGCAUAGCCGACCUGAGAGGGUGAUCGGCCACACUGGGACUGAGACACGGCCCAGACUCCUACGGGAGGCAGCAGUAGGGAAUCUUCGGCAAUGGACGAAAGUCUGACCGAGCAACGCCGCGUGAGUGAAGAAGGUUUUCGGAUCGUAAAACUCUGUUGUUAGAGAAGAACAAGGACGUUAGUAACUGAACGUCCCCUGACGGUAUCUAACCAGAAAGCCACGGCUAACUACGUGCCAGCAGCCGCGGUAAUACGUAGGUGGCAAGCGUUGUCCGGAUUUAUUGGGCGUAAAGCGAGCGCAGGCGGUUUCUUAAGUCUGAUGUGAAAGCCCCCGGCUCAACCGGGGAGGGUCAUUGGAAACUGGGAGACUUGAGUGCAGAAGAGGAGAGUGGAAUUCCAUGUGUAGCGGUGAAAUGCGUAGAUAUAUGGAGGAACACCAGUGGCGAAGGCGGCUCUCUGGUCUGUAACUGACGCUGAGGCUCGAAAGCGUGGGGAGCAAACAGGAUUAGAUACCCUGGUAGUCCACGCCGUAAACGAUGAGUGCUAAGUGUUGGAGGGUUUCCGCCCUUCAAUGCUGCAGCAAACGCAUUAAGCACUCCGCCUGGGGAAUACGACCGCAAGGUUGAAACUCAAAGGAAUUGACGGGGGCCCGCCAACCGGUGGAACAUGUGGUUUAAUUCGAACCACCCGGAAAACCUUACCAGGUUUGACAUCUUUGACCCUCUAAAAAAAAACUUUCCCUCCGGGACAAAUGACAGGUGUGCAAGGUUUCCUCAACUCUGUCUUGAAAUUUGGGUAAUUCCCCAACAAGCCAACCUUAUUGUAUUUGCCUCUUUAAUUGGCAUUUACGGAACUGCGGUGAAAACGGAAGAAGUGGGGUAACUUCAAUUCAACGCCCUUAAACUUGGUCCACCCGUUCCAAUGGGAAAUAACAAGUCCUUAACCCCGGGGUUGGAAUUCUUUAAAUUCUCAUUUUGAUAUAGGGGUACCCCUCGGAAACGGAAUUUUUA
rnacentral:rRNA from 1 species